rnacentral:rRNA from 1 species
UAUAAGCAUUUGUACUGUGAAACUGCGAAUGGCUCAUUAAAUCAGUUAUCGUUUAUUUGAUAGUACCUUACUACAUGGAUACCUGUGGUAAUUCUAGAGCUAAUACAUGCUAAAAACCUCGACUUCGGAAGGGGUGUAUUUAUUAGAUAAAAAACCAAUGCCCUUCGGGGCUCCUUGGUGAAUCAUAAUAACUUAGCGAAUCGCAUGGCCUUGCGCCGGCGAUGGUUCAUUCAAAUUUCUGCCCUAUCAACUUUCGAUGGUAGGAUAGUGGCCUACCAUGGUGGCAACGGGUAACGGGGAAU